AGUGAACGCUGGCGGUAGGCCUAACACAUGCAAGUCGAACGGCAGCACAGUAAGAGCUUGCUCUUACGGGUGGCGAGUGGCGGACGGGUGAGGAAUACAUCGGAAUCUACUUUUUCGUGGGGGAUAACGUAGGGAAACUUACGCUAAUACCGCAUACGACCUACGGGUGAAAGCAGGGGAUCUUCGGACCUUGCGCGAUUGAAUGAGCCGAUGUCGGAUUAGCUAGUUGGCGGGGUAAAGGCCCACCAAGGCGACGAUCCGUAGCUGGUCUGAGAGGAUGAUCAGCCACACUGGAACUGAGACACGGUCCAGACUCCUACGGGAGGCAGCAGUGGGGAAUAUUGGACAAUGGGCGCAAGCCUGAUCCAGCCAUACCGCGUGGGUGAAGAAGGCCUUCGGGUUGUAAAGCCCUUUUGUUGGGAAAGAAAAGCAGCAGAUUAAUACCCCGCUGUUCUGACGGUACCCAGAGAAUAAGCACCGGCUAACUUCGUG
rnacentral:rRNA from 1 species